GCGGUGGGGUUCCUGCAACGCGUGUUCCUGCUGGGGUUCUCCUUUCUGCUGUUCCGAGCUACAGUGCGGAUCAUGCUCCCCAUACGUGGAGUCCAGGGACAGCACAGCCCGGGGACUGCCCAGCCAGCCAGGAAGUCUGGCUUUCAGAGAACUGGGAAGACCAUCUUCCACUUUAUCCCAUCUGGGAGACUGUAAACAUGGAUUCCACUGUCUCGGACAGUGAGACGAUUCCCAGUCUUUUCCUGUUCCUCCUCUAGAUGCUGUCUUGGACGCAGUGAAGUCUGCCGAUGGCUGUUUCAGAGCCGUUAGGAUGGUGAAGUGAGACAAUGUGAAUGGAGUGUUUUGUGAGGCUCAGUGCUGCAUAAAUGCUAGCCAUUAUCUAAUAGCAAGAAUUCCUUGAAAUGUUUCUUUCUCUCAAAUUUAUGAAAAGAUUAGAAAAUAGUUCUAAAAAUUAAAAAUGCUUCUGGUCGGAGCGGCUUACAUGAUGGCAGUGAAAGUGUGCAGCUUCAUGGGUCCCACUGCGUGCACUUGGCAUGGAGAGAACGAAAUGUGGAGGCCAGCGAUACCAAGAACACCCCUGUGAGCCGCGCUGGGUGCAGCCCCCACGGCCGGCGGGCAGUGACACCGC
rnacentral:lncRNA from 1 species